rnacentral:rRNA from 1 species
AGAGUUUGAUCCUGGCUCAGAUUGAACGCUGGCGGUAUGCUUAACACAUGCAAGUCGAACGGAAACGAUACUAGCUUGCUAGUAGGCGUCGAGUGGCGGACGGGUGAGUAACGCGUAGGAAUCUGCCUGAUAGUGGGGGAUAGCCCGAAGAAAUUCGGAUUAAUACCGCAUAAUCUAUUCGUAGUAAAGUGGGGGACUUUUAAGCCUCACGCUAUCAGAUGAGCCUGCGUAAGAUUAGCUAGUUGGUAGGGUAAAAGCCUACCAAGGCAACGAUCUUUAGCUGGUCUGAGAGGAUGAUCAGCCACAUCGGGACUGAGACACGGCCCGAACUCCUACGGGAGGCAGCAGUGGGGAAUAUUGGACAAUGGGGGCAACCCUGAUCCAGCAAUACCGCGUGUGUGAAGAAGGCCUGAGGGUUGUAAAGCACUUUCAAUUGUGAAGAAAAGUUAACGGUUAAUAACCGUUAGCCUUGACGUUAACUUUAGAAGAAGCACCGGCUAACUCCGUGCCAGCAGCCGCGGUAAUACGGAGGGUGCAAGCGUUAAUCGGAAUUACUGGGCGUAAAGCGUGCGUAGGCGGUUUAUUAAGUCAGAUGUGAAAGCCCCGGGCUUAACCUGGGAACUGCAUUUGAAACUGGUCAACUAGAGUAUGGUAGAGGAAAGUGGAAUUUCUGGUGUAGCGGUGAAAUGCGUAGAUAUCAGAAGGAACAUCAAUGGCGAAGGCAGCUUUCUGGACCAAUACUGACGCUGAGGUACGAAAGCGUGGGUAGCAAACAGGAUUAGAUACCCUGGUAGUCCACGCCGUAAACGAUGAUAACUAGCCGUUGGGGGGAUUUACCCUUUAGUGGCGAAGCUAACGCGUUAAGUUAUCCGCCUGGGGAGUACGGCCGCAAGGUUAAAACUCAAAGGAAUUGACGGGGACCCGCACAAGCGGUGGAGCAUGUGGUUUAAUUCGAUGCAACGCGAAGAACCUUACCUGGUCUUGACAUCCUGCGAACUUUCUAGAAAUAGAUUGGUGCCUUCGGGAACGCAGUGACAGGUGCUGCAUGGCUGUCGUCAGCUCGUGUCGUGAGAUGUUGGGUUAAGUCCCGUAACGAGCGCAACCCCUAUCCUUAUUUGCCAGCACGUCAUGGUGGGAACUAUAAGGAGACUGCCGGUGAUAAACCGGAGGAAGGCGGGGACGACGUCAAGUCAUCAUGGCCCUUACGACCAGGGCUACACACGUGCUACAAUGGGAAGGACAAAGAGCCGCGAAGCCGCGAGGUGUAGCUAAUCUCAGAAACCUUUUCGUAGUCCGGAUUGGAGUCUGCAACUCGACUCCAUGAAGUCGGAAUCGCUAGUAAUCGUAGAUCAGAAUGCUACGGUGAAUACGUUCCCGGGUCUUGUACACACCGCCCGUCAUACCAUGGGAGUGGGUUGCACAAGAAGUGGCUAGUCUAACUUAGUGAGGACGGUCACCACGGUGUGAUUCAUGACUGGGGUAAAGUCGUAACAAGGUAACC